rnacentral:lncRNA from 1 species
UCUCAGGUGAUCCGCCCACCUUGGCUUCCCAGAGUACUGGGAUUACAGGCAGGAGACACCAUGCCUGGCCUUAGAUAUGCAAACUGAAGUUUAAAAAGCUUAGUUCUCUUGCCCAAGGUCUCAUAGCUAGUAAACAUAAAAGAAAAAAAAAAAAAACCUCAGUCAGAAUGGCAGCAUGGGAAGCCCACCUAACUCUCUUCUCUGAGUCCUUUGCCUAUUAAGAAAAACUCUCACCUCCUGGUCCAGGCACGAAACAACACUGUCUAUCCGACAGAGCCUGGGCUGGGAGCAGCACAGGGUCUAGACUUGCCUCUGCGUAGACCUCAGUGUAUUCUAAGAUCCUACUUUUCUUGGCCUGUUUCUCCAUCUACAAAGUGGAAGUCAUGUUCCUUGCCCCUCCCAGCACUUAAAGCUAUUAUAGAGAGGAAUGAGUUCAAAGGUAUGAAAACAUGUAGGAAGGAAAACGUACAAACGAUCUUCUAGAGUGACUUAUAAUAAAACUCUAGGCAUAUACCUCCAUGCUUAACUCCCUUCUUAGGCAUUCUCCUUUUGACUUCUAAGCAAGCAAGAUGUUCUAUCAUAAAAAGACAAUCAGUUGCAUUCACUGAAAGUAGAAAAAUGGACUCUCACAUUGAUGAAUGAUAGCAAACGACAAAGGCCGAUAUAGACAAGGUUUCCUGGUUAACCUUCAGUUCACCAAAAAGUCCUUUGAUUACAUCUUCUCUGAGCAUCCUAGUUAAUCAAGGCUUGUCGAGCAGAUCCUCACUCUCGGCUGUAAAGGCCUCUGCUCUUCCCCAUGUCCCUCUUCUUGUGCCCCUUAUAGUCUGCCCUUUACUCACUGCCCAGAUUGGACUCCUUCUCCCAGAACAGCAGGUAAAUUCAAUUAUCUUGGGGCUGAGUACGUAAAUUUUAGGCCUAGGCAUCCCUCCUAGAGACUCCAGAGUUGUCAGUUCCUUUAAAGUCAUUAAUACACAUAUACGGGUACGGAUGUGCUUCCACUGUGAUUCCACUCUUGGUGACAGCUGGGAAAGAGGCCCCACCACCUGACCCACCCGUCACAACACCCACCAUCCCCAUCUCAGACACGGAGCUCCAGAGACUGCCACCCUCCCUUCCCCUCCCCUGGGCCCCUCAGUGGCACCUCGAUGCUGCCAGUCUCUCCAGGCCUGCUGUGGCUUUUAGAAAACAGAGCAUGUCUAUUUUUAGCCCUUCUCAGCCUAAUAAUACUCCCCAACACCCAUUCAGCUUAAUCACUUUAUUGAGGACAAGAAGCGGGCUCUCUAGCCCGGGUGCUUCUGAUGUUAGGAAGUAGUAAAAUGUUCAAACUGGUUAAAAAUGACACUCAUUGGCUUGCCUUUGGUGUUUCUGAAACCUUAAUUGUGGCUCAGGCUGUGGAUCUAAAGAGCCUUGCAGGUUUCAGAGUCUGGCUUCCUUACCCCCUGCACCAUAAUUGAGGUGUUACAUUACAACUACGGCACUGACAUUUGCAGGCUCAAAAUUCAGCAGCCUUAAGAUGCCACACUUUUCAAAACAGAAAUAUUGCCUGCCACACUUAAUGCCUAUUCUAAGUACGAACCACCUCCCUGCCGGAAAAAAACAAACCAAAACAAAACAAAACUCGUCUUUUCUGGCUCCUCCCAUGCCAGAGGUCCAGGUGGGAAACUAUUUGCCAUAUUAAGCCCAUAGCUGCUUGAAAACAGAAAGGUUUGUUUGGUGUAAUUAGAAGACCUGCGAGUUUGGUGUGUGCAGGAAAUAGACUGUUGGCAGCUCUUCCACGUGCACCUUUGAGACCGUGACUUCCAAAGCUUCAGGGCAAGUGAAAGAAUUCCAAUCAAAACGGGACUGGUUUGGGGGAAGGAGGAGGGAGUGCGUUAACUACUGGGGAAAAGUCUGGAAGACAUGUCUUUGUCAGGUUGAAUCCUGGAGAGAGCCAACAAAAGGAGCCCCUGACUACAGAGGUAUCCGCCCCUCUCUCCCACUGGCUUCCAUCUACGCGGUGAACAAGCUCAGUCUUCACUAAAGGCAUACACAGGGGCUUCACCCACGUGGUCCGAGGAGGUGGGCUGGGGCACGUCCUGAGACCGUCCUCGGAUGCUUCCUCCAUUGGCCCUCCAGGGUGGCCAACUCUGUCCUCAGCCUCACCCAGAGGCAGCCCUCUGACCUGUCUUCUCAACCUAGGCUUUGUGGGGUUCUAGGUACUCGUAACAUAUUUUUUAGUCCAUCAAAUCCUAUAUGAGAAAUUUACAAUCUUCUGGGUCCGCAUCCAAUUUUAAGCCUUGCUUUCACAUGUGUUUGUUUUAUGGAUGCCUCAACUUGGAGGGGCCCCCUGAAGUGGCAGCUUUUCAUCUUUAAUGCAGUGUUUCUCAACCUCCAGGCCAAGGAGGCCCACAGCCAUCACAGGGAUUGGAGGACUCCCAAGUGCAAGAAACUGGGCUCUAAGUCUCUGCCAGGUGGCUAUGGGCGGAGGAGGAUGAGGAGGAAAGAGAUGCCUGCCUGGAUGGUUCUAGCUCACAGAAGUUCUUGCUUCCUCUUGUCCAGAAAGCCAAACCAUGCAUCCUGAGCCCUUCACUUCUUCAACAGAUAUUUCCUGAGAGCCUGCUAUGUGUCCCGCUGUGAGGAUGCAACAGAGCACACUACUGACAAGGUCCCCGCCUUCCAUCCUUGUCUUCUCAUCCAGAUUGCUGACUCCUGGGGCUGGAGGGAAGCAGGCAGCACCUCAGGUCUGUUCCUUACCAUGUGCCCAUCCGCAUGCCUGCUCACUCACCCAUUAGGUUAUUUUUCAAAUGACUGAGUUAUAACCACCAUUCAGGUUACUAAGCGAGGUAGUAUAGGGGACACAAAUAAAUCACAUGUUCUCAAGAAGCUUACAGUCUAGUAGGCAAAAAAGGCCAAGCAAAUAAAUAGCUAUGUAACAAAGAAGGUGACAGGUGCCAUAAGAGGGGAUAGAUAAAUGGCUAAGAGCGAUCAGAUGGAGGGCGGCCUCUUGUCCUGCCCAGACAGACACAUCCUAGGGCUGAGUCGGCUGACUUUUCAAAAGAGAAGAGAAAAAGGAACGCUCGCCGGUCGGGCACCAGGCCUAGCAUGGGAAACAGGCAGGACCUAUUUAAAACAACUAGAGCCAGGUUAGAGCCUUUUCUGGCAAGUCCCAAAACUCCUGGAGCUGAUCAGAUAACCAGAUAGAACCAAUACUGUCAAAAUCCUAUGGAUUUUAAAAAAUCAUUUAGCUGUUGCCGGGAUGAUAAAAGAAUCUUGCCAUUCAAAGGGAAGGUGCAGGCUCAGAGGAAGGAGGGGUCGCUGGGAGAGCAGGAGGGGGCUGGGGAGAAAAGGGAACGCCCUACAAAUAUAGAUCAGGGUUAGGGAGAAAAACCAGACGGCCAAGGACAUUUAUGCAUUGUGGUUGCUUUACUACCUAAUUAAUUCAGUAAUUUCAAAAACAAUUUUAUUUAUGUUCCAUUUACCACAUCAAAGGUGAAAAAAAUCCUACUGAUGCUAAAAUAAUACCUCAAGGCAUCUAUUUUUAAUCAGUUAAAAAAAAAAAAAGCAAGGGGUAGAGGGAGAAUUUAAAAAAAAAAAAAAACAAAAAAACUCGCCCUGGUUUCUAUACAAUCUCUCCUGGGCAGACCACCAACCCUCAGAGAGAGAGAGAGAGAGAGAAAACACAGCCAAGCCCUCUCUGAGAGCCUUCCUGGCUGCUGAAAACCAAGCUUGUCAAAAAAAAAAAAAAAAAAAAACCAAAAAAAAAAAAAACCACAAAUCCAUAAUGGCCCGAGGCUCCUCUCCAAUCUAUUUUCUGCUCAGCUGGUUUUAAAUGAAGUUAUUAUGAGUCAUUAAAACACCCGCAAGCCAGUGGAAGUCAGCCAAUUACAAUUUUAAAUUUAGCCUGUUCUCUGCCCCAUUCUCUUGUUUUCUUCCUUUGCCCACAGAAUGCUGCUGCUGUUAUUUUUUCCCUCCCUUCCUUUACCCAAAGUGAAAGAGACAGUUAUGAAAAUGCAUAGUAUUGCACGGAGCACAGAAUCAUUCAUAUGAAACUCAAAUUAUUAGACAAAAAAAUGCAAACUUCUGCCCCCUCCAAAGUCAACCCAAGCCUUGCCUCAGCCCACUGGAUUCCUCGGAAACUCCAGUCUGAGCCCCAAAGGUCAUGGGGCUAUUUUUAAAAUGAAAAGGUUCUUCAGUGGGGUCUUGUUGAGAAAUGUUCACAUCCAUCACACAAAAUCAACAUUUUCAUGGCUGAAUCCAAAAGGUAGAAACACACCACCACCAUCUGAGAAUUAAUAACAAACAAUGAAGUUGAAAUUCAAAGGUAAAGCAGGCUUUGCAAUCAAGCAUGAAUGUCGGUAGAAGUCACUCGAUAUGAUGAGCUCAUUUAGUUUUUAAAUCUUCAAGGUAAUGGUCUGUGCGGGCCCAUUACAGCAAAGGAACAAAUUUGAGUAUUUCAUGUAAAUGCUUCUUCUCAAUCUCUUUUUGUUCCCAUGCUUGGACACACAAACACACACAUGCACACAUGGUGUUCUGAUUAGGACUGUGUCCCCGAUUUCUAGGAGACACUGCAGCUUUUCCAUACCCUCCAACAAGUGAGUCCCUCUACCCAAAGGACUGUCCAAUCCUGCAAUCUUCACCAACCUCAUUUAAUGGAUGAGUCUGCAAGCUCCACAGAACAGAUGCCCAGAUGUCUGCAAACACCUUCCAUCACCUCCAGGCCCCCUCUCCCUCAUGGUUACACACACACACACACACACACACACACACACACACACACACACACGUAGACCAGUCCUCUGCCCCACGAUACUUGCAGUUCUAUGCCCCAAGAACGCAGGAGAGCCACAGCCACAGACCUAGGCAGUUGAACACCUGGGAGAGGAGUGAAUGCCAUGCCAUUUCACUGACAGUCACCGAGGGUUAGUGUGGAGGCCAGGAUGCUACCAAGAGUGGCUGCCUACCUGGUUGCUCUGGGUGAGCUGGAACUCAGGGUCCAUCCCUACCAAGCAACCUCACUGAGAAGAGCAUGUGAAAUACCAUGAUGUUUCCAGGCCCAUUGCGACCUGCAGCCAUUUGCCAAAGGCUUGACCUCUAUGGAACAUAAACCUGAGGCCUGUGAGCACAGAUGUCCCAGGUUCUGAAGGUCCCCAGAGCUGGGCAGAUGACACCCUCCUAUCCUCAGCCCUGAGCCACCCCACUAAGUAGUUCCAAGUGAGACCCCUCAACAGCAACCUCUCAAGUGGUUCACCCAGGCCUGUUCUCCCGGAAGCCAGUAAAGCUGAAGCUUCAGGCCUCUCCCUGGCACUGACCCCUUUCCUGGGAGAGGCUCUAACACCUGGUAUUUAUAAUCCUUUUCUGAGAGACAGCACCCAAAACUGAGUACGCUUCAGGCCCCACCAAACCCAGAUCUGCCCUAGUAGUACAAACACUUUUAUAACAGGAUAUUCAUUUAUUUGACAGAUACUAUCAGUGCACAACACUCCUAUGUACCAGGCACUUUGCUAGGGCAUGAGUAUGUGAGGGCAGCUGCUGAGUCCUGCACUCAGGUGCACAGUACUGGCCCAGGAGAGCACAGUACCAGCAAAGUCCAAUAAGGGCCUUGUAAAGCCUAACCCUGCUAAACUACUUGCCCAUUCUCAACACAACUGGGAUUUGGGGGGAACAUCCAGGGACCUGGGAAAAGCAGGGGCCAAGCCAGAGAAGCCCCACUCUGGCCCCUGAGAGGCAAGGGACAAGAGCACAUGAGAUUCUAGGUGCUGGGAGCAUUCUAGGGACACUGGCUCAAGAGUCCUCCCCUCUGGGGAGACCUCUGGGCCAGAGUGACAUUUUGUUUUCCAUUCCAACCACUGCCCAGCUUCCAAGCUAAAAAAAACUUUGAGGUGGUGGGUUAGGACAGGGAGGCAGGGAGGCAGGGAGAGACAGAGACAGAGACAAAGACAGAGAAAGAGAGAGACAGAGAAAAGACCAACGAAGACAGAUGGAGACAAAGACAGAUGAAGACAUAAGAAGGAAGACAGAAAAUACACAGGAGUGUCAAGAAAAGGCCGAGGCUGACACAGACACAAAGGACAGGGACAAAGAGAUGAAGUGAGAUGAAAGCAGAUUGGGGAGAAAUAGAAGGAGAAGAGAAGAGCUGAAAAAUAAAUACCUGCCACCACAGAGACCUGGACAAGAGCACUGAAAGUAAGGGCCGCAGUAGCGUGAUGGAUGCCCAAAGCAGGGUGGGGCCCCUCAGGCACAGCCCUGGAUACAGAUACCCAGGCCCAGCCUGGUUAGAGGGCUAGGGAAUGGGGCUGAGGGCAAGAGAAAGCACGGCCAGGCCUCCUAAGAACGCUUCCGGCAGGGUGUGUGUCUGCGAAGCCAAGGGAAGACGAAAAGGCCCUGGAAAUCAGAAAUGGCAUUGCCAUUAUCAGGUUGAUCCCACGUAAAUAUCCCUCCCCAAUAACCCCAUAUCUAUUCAUCCUCAGACAAUAACAAGGACCAGCAAGGCAACCCAGAACGUAGGAAGGAUGGCAGGAGCAAAGGAGAGGAAAGGGAGACUAGGAGAAUAAAUGGCAGACAGACAGAUGUCCCAGCAUCCAUCCCUCUAGGGCACCAUUCAUUUCCUAAUAAGACCGUCAUCCUCUAGCUGUGCAAAAUCAUGUGGUGGCAUGAGACAGGGUUUGUGUGGAAGAAACCACCCUAUGCUGAGAUAGAAAAAUCAUCGAGAGAGGGAGAAGGAAGAAGGUUAUUACAUAAUUUCCACUUUCUUCCCUCCACCCUCAAAGUAAUGUUCUAUCUGACAGGCUCCUCUCUGAGGGGGGAAAAAUGACAAAUCCAAUCCAAAAUUCAACAGCCUGUGUUCUGUUCAGAGAGCACACAGUGUACUGUACAGCCCAUAAAACUCCAAACAGCCUCCAGACACUGCCGCAAUCGUCCUCCAUCAAAACACUUUGUCUUGCAUACAAAAAUAAGAUACAGCGCUGAACAGAAUACAAAAUCAGCCCAUUACAGUACAGGGAGACUGCUACUUAGCAACGAGGGGGCUCUAAAGCCUCGAUGCUCUACAGGAAGCAAAAUCUGUCGAGCCUGUUGGGCAAACGAUAAACAUUAGCAGUAUUAAAAAACACAAAAGCCAUGUAAAUGGAUAGACAUAAUGUGGAAACAAAUUUAUAGAAUAAAUUGGGAUGGGGGAUUUGCGGGGUGGGAGGAGAUGCUGGGAUCCAGAGGGGUAGAUGGAACGAGCUUCCCCAACCCCUGCUAAGGCACCAUAUGGAGACAGAGACAUGUGUAUUUGGGGGCAGGGACAUGUGAACCCCCUCUUCACACAGGGGCUGUAGGUGAAGGGGUGGGAGAGAACUGGUGAAAACACUGUUUAAAACCAUGACCUGCAAUGAACUUUCCCAACUUUCUCGGUUCAGCUGGCCUGACUAGGACCGGGGGACCCAGGCACGCAAAACCGCAGCACUAAGGUGGCAGUUACGUGGGGGAUUUAUCUGCCCUGGGGCCAGCAUCGCACCCAGCACCAUCAUGGAACCUGAUACUUGCUGUAAACAAAAUCCCUGGCCAAAAAACAAAAACCAAAAAAAA